rnacentral:rRNA from 1 species
AGCUUGCUCCACCGGAAAAAGAGGAGUGGCGAACGGGUGAGUAACACGUGGGUAACCUGCCCAUCAGAAGGGGAUAACACUUGGAAACAGGUGCUAAUACCGUAUAACAAUCAAAACCGCAUGGUUUUGAUUUGAAAGGCGCUUUCGGGUGUCGCUGAUGGAUGGACCCGCGGUGCAUUAGCUAGUUGGUGAGGUAACGGCUCACCAAGGCCACGAUGCAUAGCCGACCUGAGAGGGUGAUCGGCCACAUUGGGACUGAGACACGGCCCAAACUCCUACGGGAGGCAGCAGUAGGGAAUCUUCGGCAAUGGACGAAAGUCUGACCGAGCAACGCCGCGUGAGUGAAGAAGGUUUUCGGAUCGUAAAACUCUGUUGUUAGAGAAGAACAAGGAUGAGAGUAACUGUUCAUCCCUUGACGGUAUCUAACCAGAAAGCCACGGCUAACUACGUGCCAGCAGCCGCGGUAAUACGUAGGUGGCAAGCGUUGUCCGGAUUUAUUGGGCGUAAAGCGAGCGCAGGCGGUUUCUUAAGUCUGAUGUGAAAG